AACCAUUUGGAAGCUGCGAGUGGACUUCCUACAGGAGAGAGUUCUAAGCCAAUGGGAGAGCUUCACCAUAUGGAACGCUGGGAAACAGGGCCGGAAGCUGUACCGAAGCCUGAGCCCGACCAAUCAAAAGAAGGUGAAGGCUUUCUGUGAUGUCGAUGAGAACAAGAUCCAGAAAGGUUUUUACACAUAUGAGGACUCUGAGCAAAGACCCAAGCCAAAAGUCCCAGUUCUACACUACAAAGACGCCUCGGCCCCCUUCAUUAUCUGUGUAAAACUGGUGAGCAGAAAGCGU